AAAAACAGAAUAUCCUCAGGUGCAGGUUGUUCAAAACAACUUCAAUUGGUUGCACCUUAGUCAUAUCAAAGCUUAUUUGAAAGAAUAACAUCAAAGAGUCCUCUCACCAAGUGCCCAGGCAAUGGGAAGCACAUGGAAAAACCAUUGAUGCUCCUUUCCGUAGAAGAAAUAAGUGAAUGGACAAUCUUCUCAUCUCUAUAUAUUCUCUCGUACAAUCCAGCUUGCAAAACAGGUGCAAGGAACAGACUGUUGCGUAAUAAUAUUAGCAAACUUUAACCAUGAACAGUUUUCCUUCCCAUAACCAUAAGCAAUGGAUCUUCAUAACCCACAUGAUAAAAUCCAACAAAUCAUUGAUUCCCUUCCCCGUACCUAGUGAAAAAUAAAUAAAGACAUAAACCUGUAGCAUCAAGUGAAGCAGCAUUUGUGACUGUUACAACAGAACAGAUAUGUACAUGAUCAAAUAACAAAAAGACAUUUUGAUACUUCUCAACCGAUACCCCUAUAUUCUCAUAAAGUAGGUGAUACAUACAAGAUAUGUCUAAUACGUUCAAUGGUAGGGAAUUGGAUAAUUAAAAAGAAUAACUCCAGUCAUCUUUACUUGUAGUGACAACCAUAUUUUAACAAUUUGUCCCAGGAAACAGUUUGAGCUUUUAAACUGGCAGUCAACUUACUAUCAACGGGAAACACCACGCUGCACUAUAUUUUUGUAAAUAGUUUACAGAAGAUCUGACAACUCUGAAAUCCUGAGCAGUAUCUAUGCAUGUUUUAGCAUGGUACUAAGCACAAAUUGUUACCAGCUGUAAAUAUAGCAUACUAAUACAUAUAGUUGAACAAUCACUAUAUCAUAGGACCCUCUCAUCUUUCCUCUCCCUUUCUCCAUCGUGGGCGGGGGCGGCGGCGGCGGCGCAUGAGGAAUGAGGGUAGGGUCACGGGGUGGGCUAGGUCUCUCUGUCUCGCUGCCCGCUCGCCUUCACCUACCCUCUUGAACUAGCCGCCAUCAUCGAGCAGCGACGGGAGCACACCCACAUCCGCCGGCCCACCAACCCCUGCUGCGCCUCCACCACGAGCCCGCUCACAUCUGCCGGUCCACCAAUCCCUGCUGCGGAGGGUUGGAGGCGCGGAUCUUGGGGAGCUCGGGGGCGUGCGGUGGCCAGAGCUUGCCGGAACCGGCCGGCGUGGGUGAGGGUUUUCUCCUUCCUAGCAGUUCUUGAGGGUUUAUAUGUUAACAUGAUUGCGUCUAAACACAAUAGCUAUUCGCUACAGGAAAAGGAAUCCCAUAUUCAUGCAAUCCCUUGUUCAAAAGGAUAUAAAGAGCCAAUGAACUUCCAUUGUGGUUAACAACUUCUAUUUAUUUAUGGUCCAACAUUGUAACCAACAACCUAAAGCACUGAGCCACUGCACCUUUCAUUUGCAUUUUCACAUAGAAUUAUUUAUCUAUCCAACAUCUAAACUCAAAGAACAUAUGCUUGACUGACACAACUGAGCAAUAACAACAGACUGUAACAGAAUGGAGAGGCAAGUAGACAACCACACGGACCUUCAAAUGCUUGAUCAGGGGCUCUAAAAACCCUAGGAACUCAAUCCCAUCGAGCACCUUGAAGACGUAUUCAGCAUUGAUCUUAUGUAUCUUUCCGUCCUUGCAAACAUGUCGUAGGUCUUCCCUGCAAAUAAGAUCACACUCAUGUUACUAUCAUCAUCCGAUAAACAUCACAUCAUGGGGAGAAGCCUAAUAUUAUGAUCUUGGACGUCUUCCCCUCGACCAAAGAAUAGAGCAAUUAGCUAAAGACCUCAACGAUGCAGAUCCUAAACCAGCAGGCUAACUAAUGCGAAUAAAUUAAGUACCGCUAUUUUCUCCCCCUAAGAAACCCCAAAUAUUUCACACAAGCAUCAAAUUCGCCAACCAGAUUACCAAAAAAACUGCAUCAAAUCAAUAAGGAUUACUCCCAAAAACAUAGCAAAAACAGGGAUGAGGAAGAACAAGGAGAUGCAAGGCAGGAGGCACGUCCGUGGCGGAGAAGUAGUGGAUGAAGAUGAGGACGCUCU
rnacentral:lncRNA from 1 species